GGCGAGAUGGCCGAGCGGUCUAAGGCGCCAGACUAAGGUUGUUAUCUGGUCCGAAAGGGCGUGGGUUCGAAUCCCACUCUCGUCA